UGUUUUGUUCCAGUUUCUUCAUAAGAAACUCACUUCUGUAUUGAAUAUUACUCUGUGACAUGCACACAAAUGAUUCUUCAUUCAUUUUUAUUAAUGGAACAUUUACCCUUCUAUUAUGUUCAAAUAGUGAAAAAUUACAUGCAAAAGUGAAAAUCACAACAAAGUCCUAAGAGAAACCCCAAAUGUACGGUCAUUCGAACUCUUGACGGCUCUAGUGCAUGGAAUUGCACGGACAUAAACAAAAUUCAGCCAAAUUAGCUUCUAUGACUAGAGCUGUAGGAAAGGAAAUAUUACUGGGUGGGACGCCUGCCAAUCACAGAUUAAAUUAGGGUUUUCAGUUAAUACAAACAUUAAUCUGAUACUAUGGUUAACAAUUCUGCUAUGGUGUACCUAGUGAAUAUUAAAACCAUUACUGCGUACCUUUCACUGAACCUCAGAAAUGGUAGAAAUGACAAGUAGCAUAUCAAGAAAGAUGCGCAUCAAGCAUAGUGGACUUCAGUUUAACGGGAAUAUUCCAAUCGGAUCACAAUAACACCAUGUGUAGUUAGAAAGACCAGACCACCAGAACACUGGCAACCUCUUUCAACUUCUCCUACUGAAGAAUUCCUAGAAACUCCCAGGCUAUUCGAGAGAAAUAAUCUUUCCUGCAUUUCCUGGGUCUUAUAGUAGUGGACUAUGCCUUAGAAGCGCCC